rnacentral:rRNA from 2 species
UCUCGUUGAUGAUCGGUGCUUGCACCGAGAUUCAACAUGGAACGAGUGGCGGACGGGUGAGUAACACGUGGGUAACCUGCCCUUAAGUGGGGGAUAACAUUUGGAAACAGAUGCUAAUACCGCAUAGAUCCAAGAACCGCAUGGUUCUUGGCUGAAAGAUGGCGUAAGCUAUCGCUUUUGGAUGGACCCGCGGCGUAUUAGCUAGUUGGUGAGGUAAUGGCUCACCAAGGCGAUGAUACGUAGCCGAACUGAGAGGUUGAUCGGCCACAUUGGGACUGAGACACGGCCCAAACUCCUACGGGAGGCAGCAGUAGGGAAUCUUCCACAAUGGACGCAAGUCUGAUGGAGCAACGCCGCGUGAGUGAAGAAGGCUUUCGGGUCGUAAAACUCUGUUGUUGGAGAAGAAUGGUCGGCAGAGUAACUGUUGCCGGCGUGACGGUAUCCAACCAGAAAGCCACGGCUAACUACGUGCCAGCAGCCGCGGUAAUACGUAGGUGGCAAGCGUUAUCCGGAUUUAUUGGGCGUAAAGCGAGCGCAGGCGGUUUUUUAAGUCUGAUGUGAAAGCCCUCGGCUUAACCGAGGAAGCGCAUCGGAAACUGGGAAACUUGAGUGCAGAAGAGGACAGUGGAACUCCAUGUGUAGCGGUGAAAUGCGUAGAUAUAUGGAAGAACACCAGUGGCGAAGGCGGCUGUCUGGUCUGUAACUGACGCUGAGGCUCGAAAGCAUGGGUAGCGAACAGGAUUAGAUACCCUGGUAGUCCAUGCCGUAAACGAUGAAUGCUAGGUGUUGGAGGGUUUCCGCCCUUCAGUGCCGCAGCUAACGCAUUAAGCAUUCCGCCUGGGGAGUACGACCGCAAGGUUGAAACUCAAAGGAAUUGACGGGGGCCCGCACAAGCGGUGGAGCAUGUGGUUUAAUUCGAAGCAACGCGAAGAACCUUACCAGGUCUUGACAUCUUUUGAUCACCUGAGAGAUCAGGUUUCCCCUUCGGGGGCA